rnacentral:rRNA from 1 species
AUUGAACGCUGGCGGCAUGCUUUACACAUGCAAGUCGAACGGUAACAGGGUGCUUGCACCGCUGACGAGUGGCGAACGGGUGAGUAAUGCGUCGGAACGUGCCGAGUAGUGGGGGAUAACGCAGCGAAAGUUGUGCUAAUACCGCAUACGUACUGAGGUAGAAAGUGGGGGACCUUCGGGCCUCACGCUAUUCGAGCGGCCGACGUCUGAUUAGCUAGUAGGUGAGGUAAAGGCCCACCUAGGCGACGAUCAGUAGCGGGUCUGAGAGGAUGAUCCGCCACACUGGGACUGAGACACGGCCCAGACUCCUACGGGAGGCAGCAGUGGGGAAUUUUGGACAAUGGGCGAAAGCCUGAUCCAGCCAUGCCGCGUGUCUGAAGAAGGCCUUCGGGUUGUAAAGGACUUUUGUCAGGGAGGAAAUCCCUAGUGCUAAUAACACUGGGGGAUGACAGUACCUGAAGAAUAAGCACCGGCUAACUACGUGCCAGCCGCCGCCGUAA